CCUUUCGCUGAGCCUCACCCUCCGCUCUCCUGAGUCCGGACGGUCAAUGACUCGAUGCCACGUCGCCCGACCGCGGUUCUCUCUCGGUCUGCCCUCAUAGUCUCCUCUCUUUCUCAGAUCCAAAUCCGAUUUGGUGAUCUUGGAAAGAGAAUCGUAGAUGUAUAUGGCAUAAAGUGGGAGUGGGCAAGUACAUGUGGGAUGCCCAUUCACUUGUGACGACGUCUUAUUUCUGGUCCAGUUUUUUUUAGAAGAAGAUUCAAUUAGGGGGGAAGCAGCUUUUAUUUCUCUUCUUCUCACUGAGGAAGUCCAUUUUGAGUUAACCACAUCACAGUGAGCAAUAUUGUAAGCAAUAGCAAACAUAUUCUACUUGGACUUUCUAAACAAUAGCAAAAAGCAUCUCAUUUAAAGUGGAGGAGCAAUAUUGUGAGCAAUAGCAAACAUAUGCUACUUGGACUUUUUGAUGGACCAUUUUACAGUAUCUCAUGAAAAGUGGAGCUCCAUGGGACUUAUGAACUUGAUCCAAUUUGACGUGAUGGCUGUCAAGUUAUCCUAUCAUCACACUCCUUAGAUAACAGUCUUGCUUCUAAAGGGGUUCCAAAAACUAGUUUUGCCACCAAGUCUGCUAUUAUCCAACUGAAGCUUUAUUUCUCACUUAGUUUACUAUUUGUUUUAUAUUCUGAUGGACAACUAGUGUCUUGUUCUGUAAGUAAGAAAUGCUUAAAGCAUCUUGUUAUAUUAAA